UCACAGGUCCAUAAACAACAGAGGUUGAGAGUGUGGGCAAGCAGUUAAACCUGAAGAUUGAUUGAUCCACCACGGAGAAACAACUUGUGUCCCAGUGACUAGUCAUCAUGUAUAGAAAUACAAUAUCUGCAGUGGGUCGUUCUGUGUCCAGUAUCUGGGGCAAUAGAAUGUUUCAGACAUCUGGUCUUAAACUCUCUGAAAAUGAUGGACUUCAGACACAGAGAGUGGAGAGGCUCGAGAAAAGUUGUACCCCUCUAGUCCGGCAACCUCGGGACCUGACCGGUGCCGGACCAUGGAA
rnacentral:misc_RNA from 1 species